UGGGGAAUAUUGGACAAUGGGCGCAAGCCUGAUCCAGCCAUGCCGCGUGUGUGAAGAAGGCCUUAUGGUUGUAAAGCACUUUAAGCGAGGAGGAGGCUACUUUAGUUAAUACCUAGAGAUAGUGGACGUUACUCGCAGAAUAAGCACCGGCUAACUCUGUGCCAGCAGCCGCGGUAAUACAGAGGGUGCAAGCGUUAAUCGGAUUUACUGGGCGUAAAGCGCGCGUAGGCGGCUAAUUAAGUCAAAUGUGAAAUCCCCGAGCUUAACUUGGGAAUUGCAUUCGAUACUGGUUAGCUAGAGUGUGGGAGAGGAUGGUAGAAUUCCAGGUGUAGCGGUGAAAUGCGUAGAGAUCUGGAGGAAUACCGAUGGCGAAGGCAGCCAUCUGGCCUAAUACUGACGCUGAGGUACGAAAGCAUGGGGAGCAAACAGG
rnacentral:rRNA from 1 species